rnacentral:tRNA from 1 species
CCGUAGUUCAGCUGGAUAGAAUACCGGACUUCGAAUCCGUAGGUCGCAGGUUCGAAUCCUGCCGGG